AUUGAACGCUGGCGGCAGGCCUAACACAUGCAAGUCGAGCGGAUGAAGGGAGCUUGCUCCUGGAUUCAGCGGCGGACGGGUGAGUAAUGCCUAGGAAUCUGCCUGGUAGUGGGGGAUAACGUCCGGAAACGGGCGCUAAUACCGCAUACGUCCUGAGGGAGAAAGUGGGGGAUCUUCGGACCUCACGCUAUCAGAUGAGCCUAGGUCGGAUUAGCUAGUUGGUGGGGUAAAGGCCUACCAAGGCGACGAUCCGUAACUGGUCUGAGAGGAUGAUCAGUCACAUUGGAACUGAGACACGGUCCAGACUCCGACGGGAGGCAGCAGUGGGGAAUAUUGGACAAUGGGCGAAAGCCUGAUCCAGCCAUGCCGCGUGUGUGAAGAAGGUCUUCGGAUUGUAAAGCACUUUAAGUUGGGAGGAAGGGCAGUAAGUUAAUACCUUGCUGUUUUGACGUUACCAACAGAAUAAGCACCGGCUAACUUCGU
rnacentral:rRNA from 1 species